rnacentral:rRNA from 1 species
UCUAUGCCAUACCAUUCUGAAUGUCCAUGACCUCAUCUGAUCUCUGAGGCUAAACAGGGUUGGGUCUAGUUAGUACUUGGAUGGGAGAAACCAAAGCGGAGAAAAGAUGGGUUUGAGAU